AUGGUCGCGGGGUGGGGUGGUGAAUCACAUCCUUCUUAGGAAAUAAAAUGAAACUUGAGUGUGUGCAUCGUGCGUGCAGCUACUCUGUGUCAGGGCAGACGGAGUCCUGCCUCUGUGGCAAUGUUCAUUUCCUAUUUCCCCUCAACUGUGCACAUCUGUGAGUUUUCUGGAAGCGCUGAGCUCUGGGUUUUCCACAGAAAUGUGGAGGAUCCUGGCUGUGUUUCUUGUUCACACUCAUCUGGUGGUGCAGAGGACUGGACAGUAGGUUUGAACGGCUCCCCCCAGCAAGACUUCAGGCCAAGAUUUGCUGGACUCUGCAGGGACAUUGAAUUGCUCCAACCAUAUGGGUGUUGCAGCGUUAAAGAAGAUACGCCAGCUGAGACAACGCAUACAGAAAGUAAGAAACUAUGCUCAGGGUAAUGACUGUGUUUCUGUUUCUGUCUGCAGACCUAUACUACAUGUUUCCACUUUUAUUCUUCCACUCAGGCUCAACUUUUUUUCUUACAAUGCUUUGUAGUGAAGGAGGGGAAAAAAAUACAGACUGUGGUAACGAGGUACUUUUUGUUAGUUAGGGAAGGGAGAGGACUGGGGUCUGCACACAAACCUGCAGGAAACAUCUGUAUCUGGAACAGUGGUUUUAAACUGAAGCAAGUUUGUUGUAGUAAAUAGGCACAAUUUUGAUAUGCUUAUGCUGAAGCUGCAUUGUGUUGUCAGGGGCUGAGCAAGGGCUAGCAGCUCGCUUGGGUCAGGCUCUCCAGCCUGCUUGUGUGGAGUGUGCACGCAUCACUCUCUGUGCUGUGCCGUCCUCUGACACAAACUGCUUUUGUUCUUUUUUUCUUUCCCUCCUCUUCUAUUCUUGGCCUUUGUAAUUGUUGCCUGCUUAGCCAGUUGUCAGUGUGAGUGAGCAUGAAUUCCUCACUGUCUGUCUGUGUCCUCUGCAUGGUUUCCUGUAUCUGUCAGGACUUGGGUGCACAGGUGACAGACCCCAAUGGGGAAUCCUCCACUUAAAAAAUCUUGCAGUAACAGUACGAUCAGAGGAAAAGGAUUACUGGUCUGCUUUCUGUUGUUAUUCAAAAAAUAUCAUCCACUUUUUUUCUUUUUUUUUCUUCUUUUUUUUUUUUUUUUUUAAGAUCCACCUGAAGAAAUCAAAGCUAUCUAGCAGCCCAUGUUCCAGAAUUUCCUGCCCUUUGGAAAGAAAGCUUCAGCCAGAAGAAAUCUGGCAUCUGAAAGAUAUUUUCACAGUGUUUGUUUGGUGAUGAAAAUGGCCCCACCAGUCAGACUGAAGAGGCGAAGUCCUCUAUUCUACAUUUAUUAUUUCACGUGUGUAAUUUUUUCCGUAAUCUAAAAACACAGCUGUUCAGGUGAAGUUAAUUUAGAUCUUGAAACCUCUGCACUGAGACACUGUAAGGGAUUCAGGGUGAUGUGAUAAGAAAUGCUGAUUUCAGGCACUUGGCUGAGACCCUCUUCAUUCCUUUCCCACUAACACCAGUUGUCCUUUCAGGAUUGCUGCUGUUUACCUGGUACCCCAGGACAGGAUGUGUGAGAAGGCUCCAUCUGUCCUGCCCAAGCCGUAGGUUUUGAGUGAAUAGACCAAGGAAAGCAGUCAGUUGGCUCUGCUUUGAAAUGUCUGCUUUUUCUCUGUACAGGUGAGAAGAAUAGGAAGGGACGACAUCCAGGGCUGUUGUGUGGGAAGAGGUACACUCUAGAAGGUGGAUUUUGCCCCUCUUGCUCCAAGGCUCCAGAACCUCCCAAGUUCACAAUGCCAGAAUCUUUGGUCCUUUCUAAGCAAUCAUGAAUCAGCAGGUUUGUUGGUAGGAGCAGUCUGACUGCAAGGCAGCAUCCUUCGGGCCUCCUGUAGUCUGUGCUGCCUUCACUGGAGCACUGUUUGUGAAAUGCCUCAGGCUGCAGGGCUCUGUUACAGAGUUUGCUCUGAGGGUUUGCACAGAACUGAAGACAAGGAUGGCUAAAUAGGAAGCAGCUUUUAUUUGCUUCGGGUAACUCCUACCCCACUUCCAGAGGAGGGGCAGAAGGAUCUGUUCUAAGGUACUCACAGCUCCUGUAGCCAAACCUCAGGAACUUGUCCUAGUAGGAAAAGCUGUAAGAAAAAAGGGAGGAGUACAUUGUUUUCAGGCUAUUGAUUUCAGCUAAUUUUAUGGGGGAGAAAAAAGUAUUGUUGGCUAAUGUGUGCUUUUGCUAACCACAGAUGGACAGAGCUGCCACUUCAAGUCCAGGUCUGAAAUGUUGGUGUAGUGGCCUAACAGUGAAGACCAGAAAAGGUAGAAGGUUCAGUUGUGGUGGAUGGUCCAGGCUGGUUUUGAGCAGACAAGGCAUUAUUUCCUCCCUGGCAAAGGGGGAAGAAAUCACUGCCCCAGCUCUGUGACAUGCCUGUCCUGUUAGUUUCAGCCAGUGGAUGAUUUGUGUUCUUUGUACUGAACUGUGGAGGUUUCUGUAACUCCCUUCAGAGUGGUAACUACAUCAGUAAGCCUGAAGCAGGCUUCUCAAGAUUGGUCUUUGCUAGCUACCUGCAGUGACAGCUCUUGGUAGCUGUUAUCUCUCUGCAUCGCACCUUGCCGCACAAACAGUCCCAAAGAAGUGACAGGGGAAGGUGUUGGUCAAUGUUAAAGCAGGUAUGGCUUUUGGCUUAGAACUUCAGGCUUUCUGUGGCAUUUCUCAGAUGGGCAAACUUAGUUCCCAAUGGUGUGUAGGUCAGUUUUAAUAGUGCUGGAUCAGCUUGGCACCAAAAACAGGACAAUUUCGUCUCAACCUCAUAUACUUAUUUUAAACGUAUGCUUGUUAACAUAUGAUAAUAAACCAUGCACAGGAAAUUUACUGCAAAUGCUCAUUAUCUGCUUUAAGUCUCUGUCCCUAGCGACUUAAAAGCAUGUAGUGUAAGCAGUGGAGGGUCAGGGUAACACAACCCAUUUCUCAGUGAUGCUGAAGAGACACCCUGCUUCUCCUCUCCCAGAUACUCAAUGCUGAACUGGAAAAGAGGCACAGAUAGAAGGCUGAGUUACCUGUCACAUCUGGUAAUUUUGAGUCCUCACUAGAAAUGAGGCCUCUUGUUUUGGACUCCCUGGCAAUGCUGCCAUCUCAGAAUGUUGGCACUAAUGACAUCUAACCUGCAGCCCCUGUUUUUAACAUGCCCGUGCUGUGCAAGCUUCCAGAUGGUACAGAAGAUGAUGUGGAGAGAAAACCCCGGCCCCGGUUCCUCUGCCAAGGAGGCUUAAAUGUCUUCUUACAUGGAAAACCUAAGUGAAUAAACAUGGUGCAGGCGCCCAGGUUGUGUGUAGAAACUGUGAUGCCUUAGCAAUGAUUUGUGCAAAAGCUUUGGUUAGUAGGACAGCUGUGCUGCACAGAAGUAGACACAUCUCUGAGCUUUUUUCGCUACCAAACAGCAGAUUUCUUCACACUGGAAAGUGGGGUCUCCCUUGAAUGGGAGCAGAAGUGAAUGCUUCUCAUGUGGCUUUUAAGUGAAAUAUUGUCCCCUUUGGCCCUUAGAACUGAGUGUUGUAACACUGAAUAUCUGAUUCCCUUUACUUUCUGCAGGAUCGAUCCCCUAUAUCCACUGGAUUCUGUACUUGGGAGGGGUUUGAAGCGACAACAAAAGAGAAGCAACAUAGCAUUUUGUGGUCACAUCUCCUUGCUUUGUUACUGCCCUCUUAGCAAAUGACUCUGGCACCCUUGCAUCCAACAGCUUGUUAACAGUUCUUGUCAGAAUAGUAAUAUGGGGCAUGUUAGGUGAAGGGCAGGACUGGGGCUUUUGAAAGACCCCAACAUGGCCAGGAGGGGAGUGGUAGAAUGAAGUAGGAGGUUGGAUCCAGAAUGUAAUGUUUCAGGCUGGGCAAGAUUCUAUCUUUUACUCCACACAUGGUAUAAUUUGUCUUAAGAUACCACCCUAUGGAUCAACAAAACGUGGCUGCCCAGCAGGGAUGGAUCUGCUGUUAGGAGUGUACCAAAUCACAUCUAUAAAAGCUUGAGGUAAUCCCUAGGGAAACCUACUGUACAGAUUUAAUUGUAUCUCUUAAUUCAUCAGCUGUUAGUAAUUACAUCCUGCAUUUUUGCAGUGGAAAAAAUGAACCAAGCUGGCUACUGAGACUGACAAUAAAUCACAGGAGGGAGAGGAAAUUACAACGCAAAUAGAAACAGUCAUGUAAACAAUUUUAAUUUGCUACUUAGCUAUUCAUUAAUUAAAUAACACCUUUUAGAAAUGCAUUUUUGAAAAGGCAGCAGUGACACUGAAAGCAGCUCUGGUCAGAUUAGCUGAAACUAAAUCCUCUGGCAUCUCAACAAUAUGCCAUUUUUAAAAGGUUGAUAGUAAGCAGUUCAGCUGGCAGUUAGAGCAGUGCUGACUUCCCCUCCUUGCUGAUAUCAGCUCUGUAGCCCGUGCUUUCAAAUAAUUUAUUACAAGAGCAGUAUUCUUGUUCAGCUCCUCUUUUGAUCCAUUUCUGGGGGGAAUGACAACUGUGCAGUUCUUUUUGCCUCCUUUACCCUCUCUGUAUGCUCCGUGUUUGCCCACAAAUGACCUGGGAUCCAGCUGGUACUGGGUGUUCCAUAUCACUCUCCUGUGCUGUUCUGUGUGGAGUAACUCUGUCAAACUCCCUGUCCUCCAUCCUUCACAACUAUUUAAAAAAAAAAAAAAGUAUUUUGUUCUCAGAUGCCUGAAUAUCCUGUCCCAGUCCGGUCCUCUGCCAGUGAAUGCAAAGAAAAGGAACUGUUUACACAGUAAGGGAAGGCAAAAAAAACUCCCUCCUUUCCAUCAUUCUUCUCCUUCCUUGUUAAGUGGAGACGGUUUCAGUGCAGAAAACUGUCAGGCUGACGUGUGAGGCUUGCUGCCCUCUCCUGGCAUCACCGGGUGCCACAUGUAAAGAUCUGAUGGCUGCCCUUCAGACCGAAGUAAUUCCCCUGUGGAGAGAUGAAGUCCUGCAGGAAUGAAGAGAAGAAGCUGCUUUACAGAUGAAAUUUACAUUACAUUUACAUUACAUUUACAUUAUUCACAUUUCACAACAGUGGUGUUUUGAUGAACCAGAUCAGUUCAACCAGGCACAGCUUUCAAAUCAGCAGGGACUGGAGAAACCCCCAGGAACCCGCUCUGCUACCAAGAAAGAUUGCAGCGUGCAAAGGCACCAGCACUCAUCAUGUUCUCUGAAUCUGCAGAUGAUCCCCUGCAGCUCUGCCACUGUGCCAGACAGACUGGGAGCACCCUCAUGGUUGUCCAUGAUGGCAGGAGGUGGUACCACAGCCCACCUGAGCACCCCAGGGACAGGUGGGAGGAUGCAGCCAGGCUCCGAUGCUCUGAAUGGAUUUCAGUUGUCUGAAUGGAUUUCAGUUCAGCUCCAGCAUCUGCUGGCUAUUUAAACCCUCAUUCUUACCCUUUACGGUGACUGCCCUGGGAGGUACCCACCUUGUAGAGAGAAUUUUACCCCUGAUAGCCACUGCUGCUCAGCUCGUUGGCUCAGUGUGCAACUAUCAAAGGCAGCAGCUCUCCACAGCGGGAAUUCAGCUUGAGGGAUGCAAAGUGAUCUAACCUCGUGGGCCCAAUGUUGAGGACUGCUAUUGGCAGCUGCUUCUCUCUGGCUGCCAGCGCAAACCUGUAACCAGAGUACACCUGCAGGAACACCAGAAGACAGAGUUAUCGGCAGCACAGGCAAAGAACAGUGACAGAAAGUGAAACAGAUGAUGGUUGGCUGGGAAAUGGGCUGUAUAUGUAUGCUGUGUUCUGCAGCUGCACUUAAUUCAGGUAGGGGGUUUCUCCAUUCAGAAAAAGACAACAAUUUUUAACCUCUCACCAGAGAAAAGUUUUCAGUUUUGGAGAAAAUACAUCAAAGGGAAAGUUCUUGUCUUUCACUAAUUCUCUGCAGCAGUUUUUGCUACUUAUCGUAGGUCCUUAAACGAUUCUGCUUUGGUGGUUCUCACAUGGCCCAGCUUAGGUGCUACAAGAAUGAACCUAAGGCAUUUCAAUCAUUCCUGUAUGAAGGAUUAUGAGCUCAAAAAGGGUGAGCUCAAGGAAUUUAUCUCCAGUAUCCUGAAGCAAAGAGAAGAGCAAUCAGGCCUUUGGUUUAUGCCUUUCUGGAAGGUGUUAAAGUUGUUUUUCUUAAUGUAAUAGAACUUGUUCUUGCAAAAAUUGCUUAUUAAUUCUCCAAAAGCUUCCACAGGUUCAACAGCAGGGUUUUCUAGACCACCUUACCUUGCACUUGUAAGAUAAUGGCUAAUAGAGAGAACACACUGUGAUACAACGUGCAGCAAGUGGAGGCUUUUCUGCUCUCUUCCUCAGAAGUUUAACUAGGAAUUAGAGGUCCUAAAAUCCAAAUCCCAACAAACAGUAAUAAUUACUGAGACGCUGAAGUGGCUGUGGUGAUCUGCUGUAGGAGGCAAUGCAACAAUCUGCCAGCAAGCAGCCGUCCUCAGCUAUGGGACCAAGGGCUGCUGCAGACAGCAGUACAGAAACAGGAAGUAGCGUGGGAGGAAGACUUUGCUACCUGCAUAGAGGAUCCUGCCACCAGCAUGGAGUCUGACUCUGCCAGCCGUUGGUGCACAAAAUCCACCUUUUCCCGGCUCACUGUGUCUCCAAAGAACGUCACAUCAGGCUUCAGGAUUCCACCACACUUCCUGCAAGCUGGGACUUGGAAAUUGCGCACCUGCUCGUCCGUGAGGAAGACAUCCCCAUCUGGAGCCACACCAAGGGCUUCAGCUUUCCAGCUAGGGUUCAGAGCUUCAAAGUGCUCCUGAAGCUCAGAGCGUGAGGUUUGAUCACCACAGGUCAGGCAGAAAACCCUGAAAUGCAGAGCAAAGCCUUAACAGAGACCUUUACAUCAGCUGAAGCCCUGGAGCCAUAACUUGUUCCUUACAAGGCCUGGGCAGUCUGUUUCCAUUACAUUUAUGUACUGCGUAGUGCAGUGAGAGGUAGAUUGUGUUUUUGUAGUGGAAAUUCCCAGUAUUUCUGUAUGUAGCAUAGGAGGUAAGUUGCCUUUCACAAAGAAAGUUGCUGAAGAGAGUAAAGUUGAGACUGGGGCGUUCCAACCUAGGUAAAAUUGGCAUGGGCACUAGGUAAGGUAAUCGUAUAGGGUAGGGAGAGUCUGGUACAGGACAGAACAAGCGUGCAGAUAGUUGAAAAUAUUGUCCUCCUAUCACCAUAAGAAGUACAGAACCCAAAGACAGUGGGUUGGUAACAGACAUUGUAUGGAAGCGUAACAUAGCAACAGUGUUGGAAGACUGUGAGCCUGAGGUGCUGAACCAAUGAGUGCCAGGAGAGGCUUUAGCUGCGUUGGACCCAGGGUAACAGUGGAUUUUACUGACUAGUUGCACAAUUUCUGCCUUGUCAGUAGGGGGUGUGUGCCCAUUACUGCAAUAAUGAAUAAACUGCUCGUCACAGA